rnacentral:rRNA from 1 species
ACGAAAACUAACCAGCGACAAAAAAAUCUAAACCUAUCGUCCGCGUGUACGAUCGACGACUCCUGCCCUCGAGCGAGGUCUCCUUUCGCCGCCGCCCUUCAUCCCUUCGCCGCCGCCGCUCCACCCAGAGCCGCCCUCUUCCCCGCUGGCGCCGCCCUCUUCCCUCCCACCCCGAGCCACCGUCUUCCCCGCCCGCGCCGCUCUCUUCCCCGCCGGCGCUGCCCUCCACUCACCUUCUGUUCUUCAAGCGGGGACGCCCCAGAUCAAGUCGAGCAAGUCAGCGGGGCAGCGGCCAGAUCCUCCACGGCCACAUCUCCUUGGUGUUGUUGUCCUCAAUAGGCUAAUGACUCGAGGCAUGCUGCUAGCACAAUUACAGAAGGCCAUACAGUCAGCGGCAAAGUGCUCGCUGUCGCUAAUGAUUGAUUGCUGAGGAUCUCCAUUCGGGGGAAAGUGGAUUGGACAAUGCCGCUAGCUUGGAUGGUGCCCCAUAUGGAUGUCGAUCGUGGGCGACGUGAGGAGGGACAAGGCAGAGAAAGGGGGUCAGGUUGGCGCCGCAUUAGAGGUGAGCGAGGGGGCCGGGGUUGCAUCGCCGCCGAGAUGCGUGAGGGGAUCGGAGCUGCGCCAAGCGGAUUCAUCAGAGCACUUCGCUCCUGCUGCCUUUGGCCUGAUGCUUAGAUGGAUUGAUUUGUCGGGUCAGGGAUCCUUCAGUUUUGUUGGAUCCGAAGUAAGAGCACCGGGACUUCAAGGACGAUGUAGAUUGUCGAAGGCUAAGUUGCAGAGUGCAUGGGCAGCAGUACCAGAGCAAGAACCUCGCGCGUGACGGAGCUGUUGUGGUAGAGAAGCAAAACUCAACGACUAACUCUACAAGCUCUGGUCACUCUCUUAAAAAUCACUAACGUAAUCAUAUCUCACUCCAUUAUGCAAAUCUUAUUUCUGGUUUUUUGAUUCCAUUUCAGUACUUAUACCUUUUUACAAUGCGUUUAGUGCAUAUGAAUGAAGUAUAUUGAUUUAUCCUCUACCUAUGGUUUGCUGUGCUUUAUUGGUGCUCAACGUUUUUGACAUGUUGGCAUGCAUAUUACUAAAUUUGGUCAAGCAACCCGCCAACAGACACAAAGAAGGGUUAUAUGUCUUCUGAUCAUCUCGAUGGCAUAUAUGAGGACCUGCAAUACUAAACCUGGAAAUUAGUCGUUGAGGCAGUGGUCAUGGUAGUGAUAUCUACUGCCAGAACAUAAACGUUUGGCCCUCCUUUUUGCCACGAAGGAUUAUGAUCAACUGGACUUGCAGAACCAGUUAAUGGCAUGAUGCUGGCAGUAGUAAUGGAGGGCUGUGAUUUCUGGAUGGUAAAUUCUGAAUUGGAAAUGAUAUUUUCUAAUGUAUUCAUACAGUUAGAUAAUAUCAUAUUAGAUUUUCUUCUCUUACCUGGAACGUCUGCCAUGUAAAGCAUGCUUCCCUUUGAUUUGCUGUUGUGCUAGGAAUAGGAUGGAUUGGCGUCCUCUUCUCACGAAACACACUAACAUAAAGUUUCUGGUUUCUGACGUACAAGGAUUAUUUACUAUGAACAAAUAUUGCAAUGUUCAUUGGUAGUACUGUUUGUUGAGGCGAUGCCUCUGCCAUGGGUAUGAAAUUAUCGUUGGG